CAAAUCGUCGACUCCUAUCGUUUUUAUCGACUAUCGUUCAUUUCCAACUAGUUGUAUUGGUAUUAGUGACAACCAAUUUUUGAUAAUCCAAAACAAAACGAUCUUCCGCGCAUGAAGCUGAAGCAUCGGUCUAGUUCAGGUUCUAGCAGUUGUUUAUAUAAAAAUACGCGAUUUUAUUACAAAUAAUUAUUGAUAAUAUCCGUGGUAUAGGAUAAUUCCGAUUGUUUCAAUAACGAGAUGCUGAUGGUGGUUACCGCACACUUCGACGUUCUGCGAAGAGUCCGGAAGGUGCUGCUAUGAAUAUAAAUUCUAAAGCAGAUCGAUUGGCGGGCUGAAAUGGUGCGGGACAGUUUUGGAAAGGAAAGAACUGCAGCUGAAACUGGUGUGCUUCAAACUCUGGCGUGUCUGUUCGAACCAACUGAGGGCUGCCAUGUGGGCACAAACGAAACGAUCUUUUCGUUGCUGCAGGAUUACAUACAUCUUAGAGCAAGGCAAAACAUUGACGACCAACAGUGGGAUGCCCGAGAGUGAACUCGCGUAUACGUUCCGGCUAGACAAAUCCCACGUUCAUGUGGUGGACUCGGAAGGACAAAAUUCUCGCCAUGCUAUCGGAUCUCAGCCGGCAGCCGGUGGUUGGGUUCGAUUCCGAAUGCAAACGAAGUUUACCUGAUUCAUCUGUACACGUGGAAGAUGUGUAUAUGAUCAAUGUGCUGGUCAGCCAGCAGUAGCCGUCGGAUUGGGCUGCCUUGGCGAAGAAUGUGUUCAACAGGGACGACAUUCUGAGGCUGUCGUUUGUUCAUUCUAGCGCUGCUGUCUUUCAAUGUGAUUUAUAACUCAGAACACAUCGGUGAUAUUGGAUUUGUAGAUUCUAUGGCGCCACGUCGAGCAAUUCGAUUGCUUCCCGUUUUCUUAUUAUGCGAAAUCCGUUCAUCAGAAUCUCGUCAAGCUGGUCCGCUUGUGUCUAGGCAAAAAGGUUAACAAGUUUAAUCAGUUCUCAGACUGGGCCCAGCAAAGGCCGAAAGGAGCAGCUCCGCAGAUUUACGAGGCCAUCGGAAGGCAGCUGACCCAUGUUCAAUCGCAUCCCAACGAGAUUCUGAACGCCCUGCUGAAUAAUGUCCGACCGAACGAUGAUGGCUCCUCGAGGAGGGCCGGUAGGCCUGAGGAUGGUUCUUCCUGUUUACGACGCAAUCAUCGUGAUGGGCACAACAAACGACACGCCCUCUAGUGGUGGGGACACCAACAACGUAAAUUCUUCCCGCAACUGUUUAUAUCACCAUUCGUCCCACUAAAAUCGUUACAAGGCCAAAGGUGUUGGUUCUCGGGAGCAGCACUCAUUCACUGGCCCCAAUAUAAAAUCUGUACUGUAAGUGUGAGCGAGGCCUACACAAUGUAACACCAGAUUGUUAAGCGUACAGGCAAGAAAAGUAAAUUGUAGCCAGAACUACUACUAAUCUACGUACCAUGAUAUUAUAUUAUCAUCGGUUAUUAAUCGAAUAAACCUGUUUUCAUCUUAUCACCCAAGGAGAAGUUUCUCAUUUAUAUCAAUGAAGGAAACGCAUGGAGUGUAAAAAAAGGAUCGAAAAGAAAGAUGACCCAGAGGAUGCCAUGGACAACGCCAUCGACAAGCUGCCUUCCUAACUUCGAGAGCAAAUGUCUACUCAACGUGUUGGAAUGUAUCAUGUUUUAUAUUUGUCUUCGGUUUCCGCAUUUUUUGUAGUUUAGAUCAAACAAAUCGCUUAAAAGAACUAAUGAGAUAUUUUCUUGGAAAAUAAUCACCUAAUAG